rnacentral:rRNA from 1 species
UAGGGAAUAUUGCUCAAUGGGGGAAACCCUGAAGCAGCAACGCCGCGUGGAGGAUGAAGGUUUUCGGAUUGUAAACUCCUUUUGUUAGAGAAGAUAAUGACGGUAUCUAACGAAUAACGCACCGGCUAACUCCGUGCC